UCCAUAGCGGUAUCCGCAUAGCCCCUCACAGGGUCCUCGUGGUUUGGCCCAUAAGUCCGUCUAUUGCCCAUUAAUUGGAAACGAAGCUCUUUUGUGGAUCUCCUGCACUUAUCCGCCCCUUUGGAGCCAGAGUAAAGGAAAUAAAUUGAAAUUUCCUGAAAGUCCCUUCUGUGUGUCAUAGAGGAGGGGGUGUUCUCCAGGGGCUACAAGAGGCUUUCCCAUCAGACAGGAAGUGAAGGUUUUGGGCUCGCAGCCAGCUGAGUCUACUCCUCUGGCGCGACACAAGACAGGAAGCUGACAUAAAAGAAUGGAGGGGACUGUCUGUGAGGGACACAGGAGCCAAGGCAGGAGUCAAGACAGAAGCCACCGACGAGGUCGGAAGUUAUUGUUUCAGCUUACAGGCAUCCACGGUGACAAGAGUCUUAUCCCUCUAUCGCACAAAUUGUGAUCCCAUGGUGAUGGCCCCAAGUGUGGAAAACAUUCCAGGAUAGGAACCUCAUCACUGGAGUUUCUCCCUGCCCAAAUGCUGUCAUUUGGCCCACAAGUAAAGCAUUUAACACCCUAAAUACUCCAGUGGAACACUUGCUGGCCAAUAACACAACACUGCAGUUGUGAAAAAGAAGGCGACAGGUGUAUAACUUUUUAGACCAACCCUAUUGCAACUAUUCCUGAAGAAUGUGAUGAGAUGUGUUUCAACUUCCCUCGCUAAAAUGGGCUAACAUGACUAAGGGUCUUCUCCAGUGCACACACUUGCCCUCUUGAGCACUGAAAGGCAUGACCUUGUGCUGUCAGGUAGUAGGCAAGUGUGUCAGGACAACUCUAAAGUCCCUUUCCCACCAUACAAAAAACCCCACAAACACCCUUUACCAUCUGACGCAAGCAGCAGACAUAGGGCAUAGAGCGACACUAUUCAAUCAAUAGUAAUUCUUUGUCCAAACUCUGGUCCUCAAGACCUAGGGUACUGUUCUCUGCUCAGCCAAAUGUUUCAUGAUUGAUCUAGUAUCUUAUCUAAAUUAGUCCCUAUUCGACAGGUAGAAUACAAUCAGCAGAGUGCACAAUUGGGAAAAUUGGAAACCACUGCUUGGUAACUUUUCUCUGAUUUCUUACUUUAAAGCACUCACCACAUUGCUUCCACUCAACAUCCAUGCACUUCUGAUUAAAUUACAGUGUAUUGCUCUGGAACCAUACCUGUCAUAAAUACUGUAUUAUUUAACCCUCUGACAUUGACAUAGUCACAUUCUGUCUCUAACCAUUCUCCCUCUUUUUUCAUCUUUGCUACCCAAGAAUAUGUCCCUUAUGUGUUCAGAUAUUUCCCUACUCUCCUGAUAGAGCAAUUCUUUAGCUCUAUCAUCAGACUUUUUUUUUCUAUCUGGUAUUCUCCCUGUUGCCAAGCUGACUUGGGUGGUAUUAUUUCUGUCCUAGCUGCCCCUAGCCUCACACCUUCUGUUAUCCAACAGGCCUCUAAUCACUUGUCAUUUCCACUUCACACUCUACUCCCCUCUUUUGGCUGUCCUGUCUGCUAUUCCCCUGACUCGCUGGCCCUGCAUGCCUUUUACUACUUCAGAAUGCAGGUUUUACAUUCCAAUUCAACCUUUCACCCCCAUUUGUAUUUUGUAUUAUGUGGGUGUGAGCAUUUAGCACAAAGAAUGUCUACUUAGAUAUACACACAUUAAUUCCGACUUUCCCUUAGUUUGACUGGCUGGGUUAUUUACACCUCCUGUCAACAUAAGCUUGACAGACAAUAGGACAAUUGUCUAACAUUAAGUGAUAAUCUGAUUACUCCAGAAAUUUACAGCCAACACUAAAGCAUUAUUCUGGCCUUUGUGCCUUGCUCUUACUCGCCUUUCUUCAUUUGCACCAAAAUAAAACAAUAAAUACUGUAUAUUCAAUUGCAACCAUGUUUCUUUUGCAUCCAACUAAAAUUUCAUUUGGUUUCUUAUCUAAACCUCCUCGUUAUUUUCUC